CAUAUCCCGGUUUAGUUGGAAGUAGGCGAUGGGUAGGCAAAUCCGCCCGUCAUAUACCGAGGCCAACGAUCGAGCCAGCUUGCUGGUGAAGUGACUGAACGAGGUUCCAGGAAAAGCCACUAAGCUUCAGCUAUACACGACCGUACCGCAAACCGACACUGGUGCGCGAGAUGAGUAUUCUAAGGCGCUUGAGAGAACUCAGGAGAAGGAACUCGGCAAAUUGACACCGUAACUUCGGAAGAAGGUGUGCCCUAUUAGUGUGAAGUGAACAACGGAGCAUGAAUGGGUUGCAAAAAAUCGGUGGCUGCGACUGUUUAUUAAAAACACAGCACUCUGCAAACACGAAAGUGGACGUAUAGGGUGUGACGCCUGCCCGGUGCUGGAAGAUUAAAUGAUGGGGUGCAAGCUCUUGAUUGAAGUCCCAGUAAACGGCGGCCGUAACAAUAACGGUCCUAAGGUAGCGAAAUUCCUUGUCGGGUAAGUUCCGACCUGCACGAAUGGCGUAACGAUGGCCACACUGUCUCCUCCUGAGACUCAGCGAAGUUGAAAUGUUUGUGAUGAUGCAAUCUCCCCGCGGAAAGACGGAAAGACCCCAUGAACCUUUACUGUAGCUUUGUAUUGGACUUUGAACAGAUCUGUGUAGGAUAGGUGGGAGGCUUUGAAGCAGGGUCGCUAGAUCUUGUGGAGCCAACGUUGAAAUACCACCCUGGUGUGUUUGAGGUUCUAACCUAGGUCCAUUAUCUGGAUCGGGGACAGUGCAUGGUAGGCAGUUUGACUGGGGCGGUCUCCUCCCAAAGCGUAACGGAGGAGUUCGAAGGUACGCUAGUUACGGUCGGACAUCGUGACGAUAGUGCAAUGGCAUAAGCGUGCUUAACUGCGAGACUGACAAGUCGAGCAGAUGCGAAAGCAGGACAUAGUGAUCCGGUGGUUCUGUAUGGAAGGGCCAUCGCUCAACGGAUAAAAGGUACUCUGGGGAUAACAGGCUGAUACCGCCCAAGAGUUCAUAUCGACGGCGGUGUUUGGCACCUCGAUGUCGGCUCAUCUCAUCCUGGGGCUGUAGCCGGUCCCAAGGGUAUGGCUGUUCGCCAUUUAAAGAGGUACGUGAGCUGGGUUUAAAACGUCGUGAGACAGUUUGGUCCCUAUCUUCCGUGGGCGCUGCAGAUUUGAGGAAGCCUGCUCCUAGUACGAGAGGACCGGAGUGGACACACCUCUGGUGUAUCGGUUGUCACGCCAGUGGCAUUGCCGAGUAGCUAAGUGUGGAAGAGAUAACCGCUGAAAGCAUCUAAGCGGGAAACUCGUUUCAAGAUGAGAUCUGCCGGGGCCUUGAGCCCCCUAAAGAGUCGUUCAAGACCAGGACGUUGAUAGGUCAGGUGUGGAAGCGCAGUAAUGCGUUAAGCUAACUGAUACUAAUUGCUCGUGCGGCUUGACCCU
rnacentral:rRNA from 1 species